AACCUUCCCUUAAAGAAAAAUGCUUAAAGAGUAAAUGUGGGGGCAGGUGAAAUUGCUCAGUGGGUAAAGGAGCUUGUCGCUAAGCCUGCCCACCUGUGUUCGAUCCCUGGAUCCAUGUGUGGAAGGAGAGAAGUGACUCUUCACAGCUGUCCUCUGACCUCUGCAUGCAUACUGCACCGUCAUCCUCCCCAAAAUAAAUGUAAACAAAGAAAAUGAUGUAAAUGUAAGAGAUUAUUAUAAAGCGAGCUCACAUGACGCGCACAUACACACUCCAGUCCUGUAGUACAUCUCAGAAGCUCAUCUGAUUCCUCACCCCUGCCCAGCCCCAGAGGAAACCUACAGGCUCUUGUACCUCUCAUGAAUGGCUUUGCCAUCUGC
rnacentral:lncRNA from 1 species